ACCAUCUUUCUCACUGUCUGAGC
rnacentral:piRNA from 1 species